rnacentral:lncRNA from 1 species
CUUGUCCAAGAUGAUGAUACUCCUGCCCUGUCACCUACUCUCUUGUGAUUACCAUUUGCAUGGGAUAUCUUUUUCAUCCCUUCACUUUCAGCCUAUGUGUGUUCUUAAAUCUAAACCUCUCAUAAGCCGUAGCAUGUCCUGAAUCUUACUGGCUUCGCCUCCCAAUUGCCAAGUGAACCUGGAGCAGAAGACUCUUUGGGAACCACUGACCUGGGUGGAGGAGAAACCACCUUGGGCGUUCUGCUGCUUCAUGAUCCACUUCACAAUGUUAGUUGCAGAGGUCAGGUCCCCUGAGGUGGGGGCUGGCUGGGCCGUGAGAUAAGCGAGGAGCACAUAGGAUGUCAUCUCCACCUCAGCAGAGGGAGCCUGGGUUUGGUAAAGAUGCCCCACUGGUGCCUUGGGUCUCUGAGGGCGCUCCCAAUGGACGAGGUUGUCUUAAGGGUGAGAAAAAGGAGAUAAUUGUAACUCAUCAAUAAGUAAUUAUAACUGGUAGAUAAGAGAAUGCACAUUCAUAAUACAUGGAGCUGAAAAUAAUACAGGAGAAGCAAGGUCUUCUAUGUCAUAAACUCCUAAAACUCACUAACUCACACUUCUAUGCUGAACUUGAUUUAGUCCUGUGGUACGAAGGUAGGGUAGGUUGAUGGAGGAAGAAGCAUAGAGCAUACUCACCAAUCUCUCCAAUGUUAUUUUAGUUGGACUGAUGAAAGAGAAAAGUGGUAGAGAGAGUUCUUUUAUUGUUCGUGAUAUUUUCUGAGAAUUGCAGUAUAGACUAGAAUAUAAAACUUAACUAUUGACCUCAUGUGACUUUUGUGAUGCUCUCUCUGGCAAAUAGAGAUAAAAAUAGUUUGAAAAUGUUAUUGCAUUUUCUGUUUGUUGUACCUCUUUUCUUUCUUUUUUUUUCUCUCCAACUGAAUCAGUCCGUUUUUGUUGUUUUGUAACCUCUUCCAGAGUUAACUACUUCCAUUGUAGGUGAUGAAAUGUAUAAGGCACCACUUCAAAUGUUGGCACUGCUAUAAGCAUGUUCUUUC